UCACCUGCAGGAUCAUCGGUCUUCAUCUCCUAGACCAACCUUGCACAGAAGGCCUCAGUAUUCCUACGCUUGCUUGCUGAAUUUUAUGAUGUAGCAGGUUGAUAGUGGAACUAUUUCUGCAAUUGGGACAGCACAUCACGAGCCCGAAAGGCUUUGUUCAGAGGCAGGAGAGAGGCUUGAAGACUAGAAUGAGGAGGAAGGUUGGUCUGAAGCUCCCUUCAAGAGAACAAUCCAUUUAUAUCUCUCCAACUGUGAGGCUGAGAGCUCCCACUCUGUAAGCUGAAACACCAGGAAAGCUGAUGGUAUAAUUCAUUCCAAGUCUAAAGGCCUGAGAAUUGGCAGGGAUACUGGAGCCUUCAAGUGAUUGGAUGAUGCCUACCAGCAUUGUUGAAGACAACCUUCUUCACUCAGUCUAUCAAUUCAAAUGUUAAUCUCUGCCAGAAAAGCCAUCACAGAUACACCCAGAAAUCAUUGUCUGUUAAGACCCCAUCGCAGAGAAGUUAAAGAGCUUCAAUCACCAUGCUUUCAGGGUCAAUUUGUCUCCGAAAAGGAACAGAUGGGGAAGAAUUAUUCCAUUCACAGUUGACUUGUCAGAAAUUCCAAGAUCUUGGACUGGCUGAAAGCAAUGAUGUUGCCAUUCAUCCUUUCACGUAUUCAUUAUGGUCUACAGCUGAGAAGGGCUAUUUGGGGUUUGCUUUGCCUGAUGGUAGCAGAAGAAAACCAAGAGGCCUCUCUACGAAAGCUUGCAGUAAGGAGAAAGUUCUGGAGACUGGGAAGAGCAACACAAAGAUAUUCAGUUGCUUGGUGAGAGCUGCUCUCUGCUUCCAAGGCGGCACCUUGUUGCUGCAUUCUCCAAUGGGAAGGAACGCUGGGUCCUC
ensembl:lncRNA LINC01435 long intergenic non-protein coding RNA 1435